UUGUGCAUGGCAACCUUCUUCAGCAG
rnacentral:piRNA from 1 species